CAGAGCUCAAGGAAGAAUAGAACUCUGUUCUGGCCAAAUGUGACACACUGCUGUUGCCACAGCUGAGGCUGCUGCCCGUGGCCCCCAUGAGCUCAGAGCCCAGCGUCCUCAGAGGUGCUGCUCUGCGUGGCUCUCACAGCCCGUCUCCUGGUCUCAGGCCUUUUGGAAAUCUGGUCCUAAGCAGCCGGCCACCCUUUGGAAGCUUUGUGCAGUACCAGUUCAUCUUUAAGCUCUGCUUCUGACGUUGCUCUCCUUCCUAAAACAAUUCUGAAUCAUGAGUGUGAUUAAGAGAAUACUGUCUGAAUCCAUCUUUCUUUUUUUCUUUUAUUUAAUUCACAUUUGACACCAAAGCUGCAAAAUAGGAACUAAGCAUGUGGCGCUGGCCCGAAGGUGGCCAAAUGGGAACACUUUCCCCUCGGCGCUCCUUCCAAGAGUGCUGGCAGCUUGGUAGGAGGAGCAUGUGCCACCCUCUCUCAGACCCCCUUACUUGGGGCUUCUCCCCGAGAUAAGAAAGCCUCCGCAGGCCCAUUGGGAACGAACAUGCCACCUGCUUUCUCAUACCCAUGGAAGCAUGCAGCCAGGCCCGUCUGCCAAGAACAGACGCUGCCUCCUUACCUCUCUGGCAUCCCCACCUGAGUGACUCCCAGGGUGCGGGCAGCGAAGGGAGCCAGAGAGAACAGUAGUGCCUAGUGGCCACUGGCUGAGGGCAGCUCCUCUCCAGGUUUUCCCUCCCUGACCAGCCAAGGCAUAGAUCCUGUUUUGCAGUCUUGUGGAAAUAUAGCUGCUCAGGCCACUUAAAGUAUGCAAUCACGUGACUUGUUGAGUGUCUGUGCCGCAGACGGGGUGGCAUUCUGACCCUGCCCUGCCCUUGCCUAGGAAGCACACUGGAGAAGAAAGGUGGCAAGGAGUUUGUAGAAGCUGUUCUGGAACUUCGGAAAAAGAAUGGGCCCUUGGAAGUAGCUGGAGCUGCUGUUAGUGCAGGCCACGGCCUGCCUGCCAAGUUUGUGAUCCACUGUAACAGUCCUGUCUGGGGCGCAGACAAAUGUGAAGAACUUCUAGAAAAGACGGUGAAAAACUGCCUGGCUCUAGCUGAUGACAGAAAGCUGAAGUCCAUCGCCUUCCCGUCUAUUGGCAGUGGCAGGAACGGGUUCCCGAAGCAGACAGCCGCCCAACUCAUUCUGAAGGCCAUCUCCAGCUACUUUG
rnacentral:lncRNA from 1 species